ACUCUUAGAAGCUGUAAAUAUGUCGCCCUUUCACGGCGCAAACAGGGGUUCGAUUCCCCUUGGGCGUACCA
rnacentral:tRNA from 1 species